UACAGAGGUCUCAAGCGUUGUUCGGAUUCAUUGGGCGUAAAGGGUGCGUAGGCGGCGCGGUAAGUCGGGUGUGAAAUCUCGGGGCUUAACUCCGAAACUGCAUUCGAUACUGCCGUGCUUGAGGACUGGAGAGGAGACUGGAAUUUACGGUGUAGCGGUGAAAUGCGUAGAUAUCGUAAGGAAGACCAGUGGCGAAGGCGGGUCUCUGGACAGUAACUGACGCUGAGGAGCGAAAGCGUGGGGAGCAAACAGG
rnacentral:rRNA from 1 species